UACGGGAGGCAGCAGUGGGGAAUAUUGGGCAAUGGGCGAAAGCCUGACCCAGCAAUGCCGCGUGAAGGAUGAAGGUCUUCGGAUUGUAAACUUCUUUGAUUGGGGAAGAAUAAAUGACCUACACCAAAGAACAAGUCACGGCUAACUACGUUGCCAGCAGCCGCGGUAAU
rnacentral:rRNA from 1 species